AGAGUUUGAUUAUGGCUCAGGANNNACGCUAGCGGCAGGCUUAAUACAUGCAAGUCGUGGGGCAGCAUGGUGUAGCAAUACACUGAUGGCGACCGGCAAACGGGUGCGGAACACGUACGCAACCUUCCUUUAACUGGAGAAUAGCCCGGGGAAACCCGGAUUAAUACUCCGUAACAUUAUGAAGUGGCAUCACUUUAUAAUUAUAGCUCCGGCGGUUGAAGAUGGGCGUGCGUCUGAUUAGGUAGUUGGCGGGGUAACGGCCCACCAAGCCUACGAUCAGUAACUGGUGUGAGAGCACGACCAGUCACACGGGCACUGAGACACGGGCCCGACUCCUACGGGAGGCAGCAGUAAGGAAUAUUGGUCAAUGGACGCAAGUCUGAACCAGCCAUGCCGCGUGGAGGAUGAAGGUCCUCUGGAUUGUAAACUUCUUUUAUUUGGGAAGAAACCCCCGAUUUCUAUUGGGGUUGACGGUACCAGAUGAAUAAGCACCGGCUAACUCCGUGCCAGCAGCCGCGGUAAUACGGAGGGUGCAAGCGUUAUCCGGAUUCACUGGGUUUAAAGGGUGCGUAGGCGGGUUGGUAAGUCCAUGGUGAAAUCUCCAAGCUUAACUUGGAAACUGCCGUGGAUACUAUCAAUCUUGAAUAUAGUGGAGGUGAGCGGAAUAUGUCAUGUAGCGGUGAAAUGCUUAGAUAUGACAUAGAACACCCAUUGCGAAGGCAGCUCGCUACACUAUUAUUGACGCUGAGGCACGAAAGCGUNNNNAUCAAACANNAUUAGAUA
rnacentral:rRNA from 1 species